GGGGCCGUUCGGAUUAUUGGGCGUAAGAGCUCGUAGGCGGUUUGUCGCGUCUGCUGUGAAAUCCCGAGGCUCAACCUCGGGUCUGCAGUGGGUACGGGCAGACUAGAGUGCGGUAGGGGAGAUUGGAAUUCCUGGUGUAGCGGUGGAAUGCGCAGAUAUCAGGAGGAACACCGAUGGCGAAGGCAGAUCUCUGGGCCGUAACUGACGCUGAGGAGCGAAAGGGUGGGGAGCAAACAGGCUUAGAUACCCUGGUAGUCCACCCCGUAAACGUUGGGAACUAGUUGUGGGGUCCUUUCCACGGAUUCCGUGACGCAGCUAACGCAUUAAGUUCCCCGCCUGGGGAGUACGGCCGCAAGGCUAAAACUCAAAGGAAUUGACGGGGACCCGCACAAGCGGCGGAGCAUGCGGAUUAAUUCGAUGCAACGCGAAGAACCUUACCAAGGCUUGACAUACACCGGAAACGGCCAGAGAUGGUCGCCCCGCAAGGUCGGUGUACAGGUGGUGCAUGGUUGUCGUCAGCUCGUGUCGUGAGAUGUUGGGUUAAGUCCCGCAACGAGCGCAACCCUCGUUCAAUGUUGCCAGCACGUAAUGGUGGGAACUCAUGGGAUACUGCCGGGGUCAACUCGGAGGAAGGUGGGGAUGACGUCAAAUCAUCAUGCCCCUUAUGUCUUGGGCUUCACGCAUGCUACAAUGGCCGGUACAAAGGGCUGCGAUACCGCGAGGUGGAGCGAAUCCCAAAAAGCCGGUCCCAGUUCGGAUUGAGGUCUGCAACUCGACCUCAUGAAGUCGGAGUCGCUAGUAAUCGCAGAUCAGCAACGCUGCGGUGAAUACGUUCCCGGGUCUUGUACACACCGCCCGUCAAGUCAUGAAAGUCGGUAACACCUGAAGCCGGUGGCCCAACCCUUGUGGAGGGAGCCGUCGAAAGUGGGAUCGGUAAUUAGGACUAAGUCGUAACAAGGUAACC
rnacentral:rRNA from 1 species